UACGGGGGGGGCAAGCGUUGUUCGGAAUUACUGGGCGUAAAGGGCGCGUAGGCGGCUUUUCAAGUCGGGCGUGAAAUCUCCGGGCUUAACCCGGAAGGGUCGUUCGAUACUGUUGAGCUAGAGUGUGGAAGAGGCAACUAGAAUUCCGUGUGUAGCGGUGAAAUGCGUAGAUAUACGGAGGAAUACCUGAGGCGAAGGCGGGUUGCUGGGCCAACACUGACGCUGAGGCGCGAAGGUCAGGGGAGCAAACGGG
rnacentral:rRNA from 1 species